UAGUGAUUUUCCGGUUGAUCCUGACCGGAGGCUACCGCUAUUGGAGUUCGAUUAAGCCAUGCGAGUCGCGAGAAAUUAGAUUCUCGGCGUACCGCUCAGUAACACGUGGGUAACCUGCCCUAUGCUGGAUAAUAACCUCGGGAAACUGAGAAUAAUGAUCCAUAGUUCACUACGCCUUGGAACGGUGAGUGGAUGAAAGCUCCGGCGGCAUAGGAUGGGCCUGCGUGCGUAUCAGGUUGUAGGGGGUGUAACGUACCCUCUAGCCCUCUACGCGUACGGGUGUUGGGAGACAUAGCCCGGAGAUGGAUUCUGAGACACGAAUCCAGACCCUACGGGGUGCAGCAGGCGCGAAAACUUGGCAAUGCGAGAAAUCGUGACCAGGGAACUCCAAGUGCAUCGGGUAAGACCGGUGCUUUUCUUGACUCUAAAUAGGUCUUGGAAUAAGGGGUGGGUAAGGACGGUGCCAGCCGCCGCGGUAAUACCGGCGCCUCAAGUGGUAGUCGCUUUAUUGGGCCUAAAACGUCCGUAGCCGGUCUGAUACAUUCGUGGGUA
rnacentral:rRNA from 1 species